GGUUAACGGAGCGAAAGCGACGUUCAACCGCAAAACAAGCAGAGGGGGCUUAGUGGUGGGGUGACUGCGUACCUUUUGUAUAAUGGGUCAGCGACUUAUAUUCUGUAGCAAGGUUAACCGUAUAGGGGAGCCGGAGGGAAACCGAGUCUUAAUUGGGCGUUAAGUUGCAGGGUAUAGACCCGAAACCCGGUGAUCUAGCCAUGGGCAGGUUGAAGGUUGGGUAACACUAACUGGAGGACCGAACCGACUAAUGUUGAAAAAUUAGCGGAUGACCUGUGGCUGGGGGUGAAAGGCCAAUCAAACCGGGAGAUAGCUGGUUCUCCCCGAAAGCUAUUUAGGUAGCGCCUCGUGAAUUCAUCUCCGGGGGUAGAGCACUGUUUCGGCUAGGGGGCCAUCCCGGCUUACCAACCCGAUGCAAACUGCGAAUACCGGAGAAUGUUAUCACGGGAGACACACGGCGGGUGCUAACGUCCGUCGUGAAGAGGGAAACAACCCAGACCGCCAGCUAAGGUCCCAAAGUCAUGGUUAAGUGGGAAACGAUGUGGGAAGGCCCAGACAGCCAGGAUGUUGGCUUAGAAGCAGCCAUCAUUUAAAGAAAGCGUAAUAGCUCACUGGUCGAGUCGGCCUGCGCGGAAGAUGUAACGGGGCUAAACCAUGCACCGAAGCUGCGGCAGCGAACGUAUCACUUAAAGCGAUUCAGCGGGUUACGAUUGACGGAGCGAAGCGACGUCAAAGCGUAUACAAAGUCGAGUCGGUUUAAGGAUACGUUCGUUGGGUAGGGGAGCGUUCUGUAAGCCUGCGAAGGUGGCCUGUGAGGGUUGCUGGAGGUAUCAGAAGUGCGAAUGCUGACAUAAGUAACGAUAAAGCGGGUGAAAAGCCCGCUCGCCGGAAGACCAAGGGUUCCUGUCCAACGUUAAUCGGGGCAGGGUGAGUCGACCCCUAAGGCGAGGCCGAAAGGCGUAGUCGAUGGGAAACGGGUUAAUAUUCCCGUACUUGGUGUUACUGCGAAGGGGGGACGGAGAAGGCUAUGUUGGCCGGGCGACGGUUGUCCCGGUUUAAGCGUGUAGGCUGGUUUUCCAGGCAAAUCCGGAAAAUCAAGGCUGAGGCGUGACGACGAGGCACUACGGUGCUGAAGCAACAAAUGCCCUGCUUCCAGGAAAAGCCUCUAAGCAUCAGGUAACACGAAAUCGUACCCCAAACCGACACAGGUGGUCAGGUAGAGAAUACCAAGGCGCUUGAGAGAACUCGGGUGAAGGAACUAGGCAAAAUGGUGCCGUAACUUCGGGAGAAGGCACGCUGACACGUAGGUGAAGUGAUUUACUCAUGGAGCUGAAGUCAGUCGAAGAUACC
rnacentral:rRNA from 1 species